rnacentral:rRNA from 1 species
GAUGAACGCUGGCGGCGUGCUUAACACAUGCAAGUCGAACGAAGCACUUUGGCGUUUUCGGACAAAGAAGUGACUGAGUGGCGGACGGGUGAGUAACGCGUGGGCAACCUGCCUUAUACAGGGGGAUAACAGUUAGAAAUGACUGCUAAUACCGCAUAACCCGAUAGAGUCGCAUGACUUAGUCGGAAAAGAUUUAUCGGUAUAAGAUGGACCCGCGUCUGAUUAGCUAGUUGGUGAGGUAACGGCCCACCAAGGCGACGAUCAGUAGCCGGCUUGAGAGAGUGAACGGCCACAUUGGGACUGAUACACGGCCCAAACUCCUACGGGAGGCAGCAGUGGGGAAUAUUGCACAAUGGGGGAAACCCUGAUGCAGCAACGCCGCGUGAAGGAAGAAGUAUUUCGGUAUGUAAACUUCUAUCAGCAGGGAAGAAAAUGACGGUACCUGACUAAGAAGCCCCGGCUAACUACGUGCCAGCAGCCGCCGUAAGAC